UCGAGCGGAAGGCCCUUCGGGGUACUCGAGCGGCGAACGGGUGAGUAACACGUGAGCAACCUGCCCUAGGCUUUGGGAUAACCCCGGGAAACCGGGGCUAAUACCGAAUAUGACCUCCGAUCGCAUGGUUGGUGGUGGAAAGUUUUUCGGCCUGGGAUGGGCUCGCGGCCUAUCAGCUUGUUGGUGGGGUGAUGGCCUACCAAGGCGACGACGGGUAGCCGGCCUGAGAGGGCGACCGGCCACACUGGGACUGAGACACGGCCCAGACUCCUACGGGAGGCAGCAGUGGGGAAUAUUGCACAAUGGGCGGAAGCCUGAUGCAGCGACGCCGCGUGAGGGAUGACGGCCUUCGGGUUGUAAACCUCUUUCAGCAGGGACGAAGCGAAAGUGACGGUACCUGCAGAAGAAGCGCCGGCCAACUACGUGCCAGCAGCCGCGGUAAGACGUAGGGCGCGAGCGUUGUCCGGAUUUAUUGGGCGUAAAGAGCUCGUAGGCGGCUUGUCGCGUCGACUGUGAAAACCCGCAGCUCAACUGCGGGCCUGCAGUCGAUACGGGCAGGCUAGAGUUCGGUAGGGGAGACUGGAAUUCCUGGUGUAGCGGUGAAAUGCGCAGAUAUCAGGAGGAACACCGGUGGCGAAGGCGGGUCUCUGGGCCGAUACUGACGCUGAGGAGCGAAAGCGUGGGGAGCGAACAGGAUUAGAUACCCUGGUAGUCCACGCUGUAAACGUUGGGCGCUAGGUGU
rnacentral:rRNA from 1 species